rnacentral:misc_RNA from 1 species
GAUUGCCAGUGAAGUGCUAUAAAGCCAAUGACAAGAUCAAAGACUGUACAGGAGAACCGAAUGAGAGCUUUCAUGUAUUAAUGAGAACAAUGAUUACAUGAAAGUUAAUAUGCUAGCCUUGGGGGGAGAGCCCCCAAUACAGAGAUCUGAAUGCUUGCUGACAAUUCCGAUUACUAGACCCUCCUUAUAUAUGUCCUUAAAAAAUAUACCCAAGUUACAGGUAUUGACAUAAGUAAGCUGGAAAGACA